rnacentral:rRNA from 1 species
GGCUUAACACAUGCAAGUCGAACGCCCCGCAAGGGGAGUGGCAGACGGGUGAGUAACGCGUGGGAACAUACCCCUUUCUGCGGAAUAGCUCCGGGAAACUGGAAUUAAUACCGCAUACGCUACGGGGGAAAGAUUUAUCGGGGAAGGAUUGGCCCGCGUUGGAUUAGCUAGUUGGUGGGGUAAAGGCCUACCAAGGCGACGAUCCAUAGCUGGUCUGAGAGGAUGAUCAGCCACAUUGGGACUGAGACACGGCCCAAACUCUACGGGAGGCAGCAGUGGGGAAUAUUGGACAAUGGGCGCAAGCCUGAUCCAGCCAUGCCGCGUGAGUGAUGAAGGCCUUAGGGUUGUAAAGCUCUUUCACCGAUGAAGAUAAUGACGGUAGUCGGAGAAGAAGCCCCGGCUAACUUCGUGCCAGCAGCCGCGGUAAUACGAAGGGGGCUAGCGUUGUUCGGAAUUACUGGGCGUAAAGCGCACGUAGGCGGAUAUUUAAGUCAGGGGUGAAAUCCCGCAGCUCAACUGCGGAACUGCCUUUGAUACUGGGUAUCUUGAGUAUGGAAGAGGUAAGUGGAAUUCCGAGUGUAGAGGUGAAAUUCGUAGAUAUUCGGAGGAACACCAGUGGCGAAGGCGGCUUACUGGUCCAUYACUGACGCUGAGGUGCGAAAGCGUGGGGSGCAAACAGGAUUAGAUAYCCUGGUAGUCCACGCYGUAAACGAUGAAUGUUAGCCGUCGGCAGUAUACUGUUCGGUGGCUGCSUGACGCAUUAAAC